UCUCCGUUGGUGAACCAGCGGAGGGACCAUUACCGAGUUUACAACUCCCAAACCCCAUGUGAACCUUACCAAACGUUGCUUCGGCGGGAUGCCCCGGGCGCGGGCCGCAAGGCCUCAGCCCCGGAACCAGGCGCCCGCCGGAGGCCCAAACCAAACUCUUGUUUUUGUAGAAUCUUCUGAGUGGCCUUUUAGGCAAAAAAUGAAUCAAAACUUUCAACAACGGAUCUCUUGGUUCUG
rnacentral:misc_RNA from 1 species